ACAGCCUCUGCAACAGUGAGGAAGAUCUUGUCCUCACCAAGCAAAGUAGCAAAGUUUGAUGUGUGGAGCUUGUCUAUUACUAUUGGGCCAGGGUUUGCCAGAACAAGCUGGUCAAAGAGGUGCUUUGGUAUAGAGAGGAAAAAGAGAAAGCAUACUCCAUGAUGGGCUGAUGACAGCACUGAAUGAAUCACAGAGAUAACAUCAGUUUUCUUUGUGAACUUUUCAAUCCCAAGGAAGCCCUUGAGCUGUUGAAGGGUAAUUGUGAUGGCAGCUCCCCCCAUAAAACCAACAAUUGCAGCAUGAGAAAGGAAAUCUAUCAAAAAUCCUAACCUGAUCAAAAGAUCCACCCAGCCAGAAUGUCAUCAAGGUGUAUUAAAAAGUAGAGCCUUUCAUUAGAGGAUGGUAGCAACUUGCCCAUGUACAAGGCAGUCAUAAACAUUAGUGCUAGGAAGAUUUAUGCAAUCCCUCUAGUCAAAGUAGCGUACCUUAAAAUCCCAAGUGUUGCUUGAGUAAUCCCCGCAAAGAAAGUGGCAGUAAAAGCAAGUCGUCGAUAGUCUACUGGAUUUGCAAUGGGAUCAAUCUCACUCUGAAGUAAAGUCCCCAGCAAGAGAGAAACCACUGCCACCGGUCCUAUUGCAAUGUCACGAGAACUACCCAUGACAGCAUAAAUCAGUGGUGGAAUAAAGCUGGAGUCUGCAAAGGAAACAAAAUCUCAAUCCAAUAUCCAAAGUAAACACAUAGGCAAACUGAGCUGUUUAUGAGACAAGAGUCUUACACAAUCCAUACUGUGGAUCUAAAUUUGCAAGCUUUGCAUAUCCAAUGUCCUGUUUUUCAAGAUAAAUAUUAGAAUCUACCAUUCUAUUA